rfam:Stereum hirsutum FP-91666 SS1 unplaced genomic scaffold STEHIscaffold_3, whole genome shotgun sequence.
CCUUCGAUAGCUCAGUUGGAAGAGCGUGGGACUGUAAUUGGCAAUCUUUCAAAAUCCAUCCCGAGGUCACUGGUUCGAUCCCGGUUCGAAGGA